CACGUAGGCGGAAUGGCAAGUCGGUCGUGAAAUCCUUCGGCUCAACCGAAGAACGUCGAUCGAAACUGCCGUUCUUGAGGAUUGCAGAGGAGACUGGAAUUCCCGGUGUAGCGGUGAAAUGUGUAGAGAUCGGGAGGAACACCGGUGGCGAAGGCGGGUCUCUGGGCAAUUCCUGACGCUGAGGCGCGAAAGCGUGGGGAGCAAACGG
rnacentral:rRNA from 1 species